ensembl:lncRNA
UACUCUUAACAUUUGUUUGUUUUAUUCAAUGUAUACAUACAAAGGAUCUAGAAAGCUACAAAAUAUCUACCACUUUAUCAAGAAGGCAUCAAAAUGUUACACAGCGGACAGGACCAUAUGCAGUAAAGAACACGUACACAUCGCAGGACCCACACACACACACACACACACACACACACACACGUACACAUCGCAGGACCCACACACACACACGUACACAUAGCAGGACCCACACACACACACACACACACACACGUACACACAGCAGGACCCACACACACGUGCAGACACACACCUCUGACACUAAGAGGAGAACUCUAUACACACACACACACACACACACACACACACACAGGUCCCCGGUCACACCCAACUCCUGAGAGGGAUCUGCUGUAACCAGGCCAGGUGUGUUUGAACGGACUGUGUGUGCGUGUGUGUGUUUGUGUAUGACUGUGUGUGUGUGUGUGUGUGUGGACGACUGUGUGUGUGUGUGUGUGUGGACGAACAACUGCAUCUACACAAACGGAAGGACCUACCUAAACACACACACACUACUCUUUCUCACUGGGGUUAUAGUGUUACAGAUUACGUGACUGAGGGUCGUAGACAUCACACACACACACACUCGUCCUCAGUAUGAUGCCAUGUUGUAGUGCUUAGAUUAUCUGACUGAAGGCUACAGACCUCUCUCUCUCUCUCUCUCUCACACACACACACACACACACACACACACACACACACACACACACACACACACACACUCGUCCUCAGAGUAAAGUCAUGUUUUAGUGUUUUAGAUGUUACACUUUAAUAAAGUUCUGGGAACAUUCAAGAAAAAUCUGUACGAACACAAGAACCACACACACUGAGCAAGACACGUCACAUGACAUUAGCAGCGCCAAGCGCACACACACACACACACACACACACACACACACACACUUCUUAACGCACACUAUUAACCAUCUUCUAUGUCCUGAGUGGGACAUACUUACAGGGCAGCAACUCUCCCAUAAAUGUACAUUAAUGUGAACAAGAACACAAGUACACACACACACACACACACACACACACACAGGUGAUAGAGAAAUGACAUGUCAUAUAAAAGGCCAAAGGUCAAAUAAAAGCAGAGGGACACGAGUCUCAUCAUAUGGACGAGUCUCCCUGCAACACACACACACACACACACACACGUGUGCUUUUAGGCAGCAGUCUAGUGGAGUCUGCACUGGUCUGCUGCCACCUAGUGGAGUCUUUAGGGUCUGCGUUGGUCUGCUGCCACCUAUGGAGUUCUGAUGGAGUCUUUGGAGAUCUUUAUGACAUGAGAGUCUGUGCAGAUCUUUAUGGAUAUAUAAGGCUUAUCUGGAGGCUUAAAAAGUCAACACCCACAUGUGCAUUUAGGAUUGUGCCAGUCUUUAGGGUCUAUAGGAGUAUUUAAGGGUCUUAAGGAAUCUGAUGGAUACUUUAACAAUCUGAUGGAGUCUUUAUGGGUCUUUAGGGUUCUAUUAGAAUCUGAUGGCGUCUUUAGGAAUCAGAUGGAGUCUUUAGGAAUCAGAUGGAGUCUGUAACAAUCUGAUGGAGUCUUUAGGAAUCAGAUGGAGGCUUUAGGAAUCUGAUGGUGUCUUCAGGGAUAGACUUUACUGUGAUGAAGUUUUUAAUAUUUAGCUGUCUGUUGGGGUCUGAUGGAGUUUUUGGACAUCGUUGCCAAUCUGUGAAGAUCAAUGAAAGUUUUCAUAGAUCUAUGUAAAGGCCUGUACGAGUCAUCUGACUUUAUAAGAACACACAGGGGCUUUUAAGGUGCUGAUAUCAUCUAUAAGGAUCUAAAAGGUUUAGCUGGAUCACUCAAGUAGCUUGCACAGUGGGGAACGGCCACACACACACACACACACACACACACACACACAUUCUCAACAGUCUUUAUCAGCACUGCUGGUUAAUCAAGAGUUGUAAUAAACUUUAAAAAUCUUUUUAUAAAUUAGACGUGAGCUACUGAAGGAGGCCUCAAGUGAGGCAGGCUGCAGAGAGACAGGCUGCAGUGAGACAGGCUGCAGGAGGAGAAGAGAGCGACUGAAGGAGGAGAAGAGAGCGACUGCAGGAGGAGAAGAGAACGACUGAAGUUCUACGCUCGUAACCCGCCAGAACACUAACUGGGUCUCCACAUUCAUUGGCAGUUCUAAAGAACCGAGCUGAAGGCAAAGUGGUGGCUGGUCCGGUUCCACGGCCGCUGGCGGCGGCGGCGCGGGGGGGUUUGGUUUGGUUAGUCUGGCCGUGUGACUCAUGGCCCUGCUGGAGCUGGACUGAAGGCACUAGAGAGCGUCAGCAGCAGCAGACAGGGAGGAGAAGGGGAUAGGAGGAGAGGAGAGGAGGGGAAGGGAGAAGAGGAGAGGAGGAGAAGAGGAGAGGAGAUGAGAGGAAGGGAGAAGAGGAGAGGGGAGGAGAAGAGUAGAGCAGCAGCAGGAGACAGGAGAGGAGAGGAGGAGAAGAGGACAGGAGAUGAGAGGAAGGGAGAAGAGGAGGAGAAGAGGAGAGGAGAAGAGAAGAGGAGAAGAGGAGACAAGGGGAGGAGAAGAGUAGAGCAGCAGCAGGAGACAGGAGAGGGGAGGAGAAGAGAGGAGACAGCAGGGACGAGAGGACACAGAUGUGUGGGGGACUGAGGGGACACAGAGGUGUGGGGGACUGAGGGGACUGAGGGGACACAGAGGUGUGGGGGACUGAGGGGACACAGAGGUGUGGGGGACUGAGGGGACACAGAGGUGUGGGGGACUGAGGGGACACAGAGGUGUGGGGGACUGAGGGGACUGAGGGGACACAGAGGUGUGGGGGACUGAGGGGACUGAGGGGACACAGAGGUGUGGGGGACUGAGGGGACUGAGGGGACACAGAGGUGUGGGGGACUGAGGGGACACAGAGGUGUGGGGGACUGAGGGGACACAGAGGUGUGGGGGACUGAGGGGACUGAGGGGACACAGAGGUGUGGGGGACUGAGGGGACUGAGGGGACACAGGGGUGUGGGGGACUGAGGGGACACAGGGGUGUGGGGGUCAUAGGGUUAGGGAUCUCGGGGUCUUUCCGCCUCUUUAAGCCGCUGCCCUUCAUUUGGUUUUAGUUUUGAUCCACCUCAGACCAGAUCCACCUCAGACCAGUCCA